GGGGGUAUAGCUCAGUGGUAGAGCAUUUGACUGCAGCAAUUAAAGGCGUAACUACAUAACCCCA
rnacentral:tRNA from 1 species